GUGAGGCAGCUGGUCCUGCUGCCGGGCUCAGACGCCACCCCAAGGCUGUGUCCCAGCAGGAAUGCCCCGCUGGCUGUGCUGUCCAUCCCACGGGUCCUGCAGGCUCUCACGGGGAAGCCGGAAGAUAAUGAGGUGCUAAAAUAUCCCUAUGAAACCAACAUUCGAGUGACACUGGGACCCCGGCCACCGUGUACCAAAGUGGAAGACGCCCAGUUCUGGUUUGAUGCUGGCCGGAAGGGGCUGUACCUGUGUGUCGGCAACGAGUGGGUGUCUGUGUUAGCAGCCAAAGAAAGGCUGGACUACGUGGAGGAGCAUCAGAAGUUGCUCACCAGCUCCGAGACCCUGGGCAUCGAGGUCUUCCGCAUCCCCCAGGUGGGGCUCUUUGUGGCCACAGCCAAUCGCAAAGCCACGUCCGCCGUGUACAAGUGGACCGAAGGGAAGUUCGUCUCGUAUCAGAGCAUCCCCACUCACCAAGCACAGGCCUGGAGGCAUUUCACCAUCGGG